rnacentral:rRNA from 2 species
UGUGGAAGUGGUGUGAGCCAUUAAGCUAACUUGUACUAAUUACCCGUGAGGCUUAACCAUACAACGCCAAACGCGUUU